AUAAAACCAUGGAAAAUACAGGAUCCCAAAUGUCAUGAUGGGGUAGCGGUAAUCAGAUAAUGCCACACCCAGCAAUCACUGCACUUGUUACUGCGGCUUCAAGCUGGGUGGAUGUCUUUUGUAGCAUUCCUUCUCAAUACAUGUCUUUGUUUUUUAGUUUAGGUUUGAUACAUAAGGAUCCCUCUGUUCUGCCUUCCACUUGAGGGAGUUACUUGGGGCCAAUGUCCUUCAGCGCACAGAUCUGCUCCUCCCCCAUG
rnacentral:misc_RNA from 1 species